rnacentral:rRNA from 1 species
AUGUCUCCUCCUCACCUUCUUAGCUUUUUUCCCUUGUUCAUGCAGGGAGCACAAAAGGAGCCUCGCCUGUGGAAGUGGAUCCGACCGUCCCCGACCUCGUCUACUCCUCCCAUCGCCGGAUUUAACGCGCCUCCUGCCGAAUCCGUCCGAAUCGGACUCGUAUACUCCUCCCCGUGGCCGGAUUUGACGCGCCGCCGCCGGAUCCGCCUCCAUUGGACCGGAUCCGGCUGCCCUCGACCGUCCCUGGAUCCUGUCGAGGGAUUUGAUGCGCCGCCUCCGGAUCUACCUCCACCGGACCGGAUCCAUCCGGAUUCGACUGCCCUCGACCAUCUCCGUUCCCCUUCUGAUUAUUCUCACCUCUGUUUUAUGUAA